GGGGGGUCCUGCUCGGUCACUCCGGGCUCCUUCCCUGGUGGCCUCCGGGCCCCCGUGGCCGCCCUCUCUUCCCCCCUUAAGUGGUGAAGCGGGAGCUCUCUCCACAGCGGGUGAGUAGAGGUGUCAGCCAGAUCGUUUCCCCACCCUCCACCUCCGGCGCACAAAUCACAGGGGCCAUUUCCAGACGCUCUCAAGUCCCCAAGAAGUUUUCCGCUCUAUCCCCGAGCUGACCGAGCGAUGGAAAAGGGGCUGACUGGCCCUGGCACUUCCGAGGUGCGACCUCAGCAAGACAAGUCCCCUCUUCACCAGAGACGACACGGCGGGUCAUUCCGGACUCCUGACGCCGCCAGUCCCGCGGUGAGACGUGAGCGCCAUUGGCGUCCGUGGCCUCUGUUUCCGUGGCAACCUAGUAACCAUUAAUUUUCAAUUAAAGGAGACAAAAAGCUCGAUGACAGCUCCAGGUCUGCUGAAGAUGUCAAGAAUCUGUAUUAAUAUACAGCAAGAGAGCAUAAUUGUGUGUCCAUCUUCCAGAGCAGCGAAAAAUGGAGGGAUAAUUACCAGCUCGAAAGCCACUCUGUAAUUUAGUUCUUACUGUCACCACAGCCCUACACAUUAGCAUAAAUUAAAAGCAGAGUUUAUUGUUAUCAAAGUGCAUUG
rnacentral:lncRNA from 1 species